UUUCGAACGUAAUACGCGUUUAUAUUGUGGAGGCGAUAUGGAUAGAGCGUCCCUUCGGGGACAUCCGAUAAAAUUGGAACGAUACAGAGAAGAUUAGCAUGGCCCCUGCGCAAGGAUGACACGCACAAAUCGAGAAAUGGUCCAAAUUUUUUUUUUUCUAAAUUACGAAUUGCUGUGACUUUACGAUCUUACCCCUCCCAGAUUUAUCGUUUUCUCUGGCUGUUGAGAGCUCGCUUGGAGUGAAGAGGUAUGCAUGGCUUCCUUCAUAGUCGUCUUCUUCUUCUUCUUCUUCUUCCAACGCCGUAGUAUUGAUCGGUUUCUAUUUAAUUUUUGGUUUUCUAGCAAUUUGGUCUGAAACAACUGAUUUGGGUGCAGAAAAGGUUGAAUUGGUGCAUUAGGGUUACGUCUCCCUUCCUGAUUCUCUCUUUUCCUAUGCCUUGGUUUUAAACAAUCUGUGAGGGGUUGUUGCUUUGCAGGAGUUUGAUUUUGGUGCUUUAUCAUGUUCUUUUCCUACGAUUAGGGAUUCGUUCAUGAUAUUUAGUUUCUCAGUGUUCAAUUGAGCCAACUUUUCGCUGUGCUGUGUGUUCCGCUUGACUUUUAUUUGUAGGUUAUGAAUUGAAUGCGUUUCUUGUACCUUGCUUGGUCAUGGAAUUUGAUUGAACAAAAAGCUCUAAAAUUGGAUCUGGGUUUAUGUAGAAAAGGAUGGUUUUGGGAUUUUUGUUUAUCUGGGAUUUGUAAUUGAAUGAGCGUGGAGAGUUUGUUCCCUCUGAUCAUAAGCACCAAUUUGUUCAUUCGGCUCAAACUGUGUCAACAACAUCUCAUGAUCCAAAACAUACCUUGGAUUUGUUUGCUUCUGCCCCACAGCAGAGGAGAAGUAAUUGUCACCCUUCAUAUCAACAACAGAUGAACUCUAGUGCAGCACAACCAAAUAUAACAAUCCAAGCUUACGGAAGUCCAGUUUUCAUUGUUACAACUUUAGUUACAUCAACUGCUGCUCGAACCUCGAUCGACUGCGCUGGACAAUAUCAACUCUUCUGCAACCAAGUCCCUGAAUACUGGAAAAGUUGGUAACAUUGACGGGCUGAAGAUGUAAGAAAGCAGAAGGAAGGUAAUGAAGGUUAGUGAAUAAUGAAUGUAGUAUCAUUCUUCACAGUUCAUAUGUAAAUGACCUUUGUUCAUCCUGCUCAUAUCAGUUGCAUCACAACAACAGCAAAACAAAGGGAAGCUUAGAACAUACAGUAAAAAAAAAAAUAUAUAUAUAUAUAUUUUACUCCCUCAAUUUACUUUCAAUUUUUGUUCAUUUCCGCCCCUUUACCUUCAAAACGUCUAUUCUAGUUCCUAUACUCUGUUUUAGUCCCUUCAA